GUAGGUGGCAAGCGUUGUCCGGAAUUAUUGGGCGUAAAGCGCGCGCAGGCGGUCCUUUAAGUCUGAUGUGAAAGCCCACGGCUCAACCGUGGAGGGUCAUUGGAAACUGGGGGACUUGAGAACAGAAGAGGAAAGCGGAAUUCCAAGUGUAGCGGUGAAAUGCGUAGAGAUUUGGAGGAACACCAGUGGCGAAGGCGGCUUUCUGGUCUGUAACUGACGCUGAGGCGCGAAAGCGUGGGGAGCAAACAGGGAUUAGAUACCCUGGUAGUCCACGCCGUAAACGAUGAGUGCUAAGUGUUAGGGGGGUUUCCCGCCCCUUAGUGCUGCAGCUAACGUAUUAAGCACUCCGCCUGGGGAGUACGGCGCAAGGCUG
rnacentral:rRNA from 1 species